rnacentral:rRNA from 1 species
GGAAAUCUUACCAGGUCCAGACAUAUGGAGGAUUGACAGACAGUUAACCAAAACGCAGCAGCUAGUUUAACAAAACUAACAGCUCUUUCAAGAUUAUGUGGUAGGUGGUGCAUGGCCGUUCUUAGUUCGUGAAGUGAUUCGUUCGCCCAAUCGCAUUUCCAAACAACUAACAACUCAGAAUGCUGGGCAAUAGGACGUUUAAAGUGGCUCCUUACACCUUACAAAGGAAUGGCUGAUGAGAAACAACUCGAUCCGCUCAGCGUUCUAUUGGAAUGCAACGGACGUGAUUGCAAGCUUUUGUUUUGAGUUGCGGUUUUACUGAAAGACUCUACAAUCCGCAAACUUCAAUGAUCUGAAGUAGAAAACCUACAUGCUACAGUGAGAUAUUGUGGAUAAACUUAAGCGACCGCUCCAACAUUGUGUUUUUUUAAAACUGAUGAAGGUUGCGGCAAUA